rnacentral:rRNA from 1 species
GAUGAACGCUGGCGGCGUGCCUAAUACAUGCAAGUCGAGCGAACGGACGAGAAGCUUGCUUCUCUGAUGUUAGCGGCGGACGGGUGAGUAACACGUGGAUAACCUACCUAUAAGACUGGGAUAACUUCGGGAAACCGGAGCUAAUACCGGAUAAUAUUUUGAACCGCAUGGUUCAAAAGUGAAAGACGGUCUUGCUGUCACUUAUAGAUGGAUCCGCGCUGCAUUAGCUAGUUGGUAAGGUAACGGCUUACCAAGGCAACGAUGCAUAGCCGACCUGAGAGGGUGAUCGCCCACACUGGAACUGAGACACGGUCCAGACUCCAACGGGAGGCAGCAGUAGGGAUUCUUCCGAAAUGGGCGAAAGCCUGACGGAGCAACGCGGCGUGAGUGAUGAAGGUCUUCGGAUCGUAAAACUCUGUUAUUAGGGAAGAACAUAUGUGUAAGUAACUGUGCACAUCUUGACGGUACCUAAUCAGAAAGCCACGGCUAACUACGU